GGCUUAACUGGGGGCGUGCGGUGGGUACGGGCUGACUUGAGUGCGGUAGGGGAGACUGGAACUCCUGGUGUAGCGGUGGAAUGCGCAGAUAUCAGGAAGAACACCGGUGGCGAAGGCGGGUCUCUGGGCCGUUACUGACGCUGAGGAGCGAAAGCGUGGGGAGCGAACAGGAUUAGAUACCCUGGUAGUCCACGCUGUAAACGUUGGGCACUAGGUGUGGGGGCCACCCGUGGUUUCUGCGCCGUAGCCAACGCUUUAAGUGCCCCGCCUGGGGAGUACGGCCGCAAGGCUAAAACUCAAAGGAAUUGACGGGGGCCCGCACAAGCGGCGGAGCAUGCGGAUUAAUUCGAUGCAACGCGAAGAACCUUACCAAGGCUUGACAUGCACGGCGACACUGCAGAGAUGUGGUGGCAUUUAGUUGGUCGUGUGCAGGUGGUGCAUGGUUGUCGUCAGCUCGUGUCGUGAGAUGUUGGGUUAAGUCCCGCAACGAGCGCAACCCUUGCCCUAUGUUGCCAGCACGUGAUGGUGGGGACUCGUGGGGGACUGCCGGGGUUAACUCGGAGGAAGGUGGGGAUGACGUCAAAUCAUCAUGCCCCUUAUGUCUUGGGCUUCACGCAUGCUACAAUGGUUGGUACAGAGGGUUGCGAAAUCGUGAGGUGGAGCGAAUCCCUUAAAGCCAGUCUCAGUUCGGA
rnacentral:rRNA from 1 species